CUUGACUAUCCAAGUAAAUUUCCCCUCAUUCCCCCUAGGGGUAUGUUUACUAUAUACAGUUUUUGUCAGUUUUAUCUUGAUUAAAAGUUUCUUUUUGUUUCUGUAAUCUCAGAAUAAGUUUUUAUAGAUAUAAUGAAGACAUCAUAUAUUAAAACAUCAUUGAUUUUUUCGCAAGAAUUUUAUCUAAAUUUUUACGUCUUACAAUCUUCAAUACUAAUAUAUUUACAAAUUGAUUAAACUCGUGCAACAUACGACAAUGUGAAAUUCCAUCUUCAUUGAACAGAUCGUUAAGAUUUCUCUUCCUAUUCUUGGAAGGUUUCAAAACGUGUUCUGUCACACUUGACGAAGUUACCUGGUCGAGGUCAUCAGGAGAUCAGACCUCUCUAGAAGUUGAUAAAGGGAAUCCAAUUCCUAUGAAGAAAAUCCGCUAUUCUCUCCAGUCCUUUAUAAGAGAAUUGCAAUCGAGGUCGAGAAAGGGUUAGAGAAUAUCGCCAGGCCUUCGAAUUGGCGAACCUGGAAUUGAGAAAGCAUACGAGGCGAGGAGGUGAUUCGCAAUAAUUUGCACAAUCCACUGCUUUUACUUAUCUGCACAUUAUGUUUGCGUGUUCGCAUUCUGCAAAGACUGACCGCGUCGACUUGAUCGACAACUUUCAUACCAACUGUUCUAUAUAUAUAUUAUAUAUACAUGUAAUAUGUAUAUUUGUGUAUUUAUACACUCAUAAUAAAAUCUACACGGUGUGCAGAUUUUCGCAAAAAUGCUUUUUUAAAUUCUAAAAUUUUUAUAAGUAUUAGAAAUUUUAAAUUAUUAUUUUAUUUGUUUAUUUCUUAUUUUAUUUUGUUUGACAAGCAGAUUUUUAUAUUGUAUUUUUUUUUUAAACAAAAUGAAAAAUUACAAGCAACUUUGCAAACAUUUGUAUAUAAAACAAUAUCUAUAUUUAUACAAAUUUUUAAAACAAGAAAACAUUAUUUUUAUACAAAAUUUGAAUCAAUAUAUAUGUAUAAUAGUUCCAAUCAGUUGAUAUAUGUCGUGAAUAUUUGAUCCAAACUGAAGUCUUUGUUAAAAUAGUUGAAAUUAUUGGGAUGUUUGUUGAACAAUUGGAAUAUUGAUUGAAAUAAUUGGAAAGCUUGUUGAAGCGCACUUGAAAUAGAGAUAAAAGAGGACUUGAGAUUUAGUUAUUAUUAUAAAAGUGAUUAAAUAAAAAUUUCAUGAUUUAUUGAAAAAUGUGAUAAAAUUCAAAUUUACAGAAAUUGAAAAAAUUAAUGAAAAAAAAUUUUUAAUGAAAAACUAAAAGCUUUUGUCACAGUCAAGAUUUAAAAUUUGGGUCAGUCGAGGGGAAAUUUACAAGUUAAAAACGUCUACACCGGUAAUAAUAAUAAAGUUCCAUUUAUUAACAAAUAAGAACGUAUACAUUUGUUUGGGACUUUUAAGUCCAUACAAAGGGAGUUCCAAUUAAGUAAAAUUUAUAAUUAAAUAUUUUAUAAUAAAAAUUUGCAUAAAUUUAAAUUGUGAAAAAAUGAAAAUUUGCAAUAUUAUAUUUUAUAUAUUAUUGUUACAUAUGA